rnacentral:rRNA from 1 species
AUUGAACGCUGGCGGCAGGCCUAACACAUGCAAGUCGAGCGGAUGAAGGGAGCUUGCUCCUGGAUUCAGCGGCGGACGGGUGAGUAAUGCCUAGGAAUCUGCCUGGUAGUGGGGGAUAACGUCCGGAAACGGGCGCUAAUACCGCAUACGUCCUGAGGGAGAAAGUGGGGGAUCUUCGGACCUCACGCUAUCAGAUGAGCCUAGGUCGGAUUAGCUAGUUGGUGGGGUAAAGGCCUACCAAGGCGACGAUCCGUAACUGGUCUGAGAGGAUGAUCAGUCACCAUGGAACUGAGACACGGUCCAGACUCCUACGGGGGGCAGCAGUGGGGAAUAUUGGGCCAUGGGGGAAAGCCUGAUCCAGCCAUGCCGCGUGUUUGAAGAAGGUCUUCGGAUUGUAAAGCACUUUAAGUUGGGAGGAAGGGCAGUAAGUUAAUACCUUGCUGUUUUGACGUUACCAACAGAAUAAGCACCGGCUAACUUCGUG